rnacentral:rRNA from 1 species
UACAGAGGUCCCAAGCGUUGUUCGGAUUCACUGGGCGUAAAGGGUGCGUAGGUGGCAAAGUAAGUCUGAUGUGAAAUCUCCGGGCUUAACCCGGAAACUGCAUUGGAAACUACUUGGCUAGAGGGUUGGAGGGGGGGCUGGAAUACUUGGUGUAGCAGUGAAAUGCGUAGAUAUCAAGUGGAACACCAGUGGCGAAGGCGAGUCCCUGGACAACUCCUGACACUGAGGCACGAAAGCUAGGGGAGCAAACAGG